UACGGAAAUAGCAAGCGUUGUUCGGAAUUACUGGGCGUAAAGGGCGCGUAGGCGGUCUGGUCAGUCCGAUGUGAAAUCCCUCGGCUCAACCGAAGAAUAACAUCGGAAACAACCAGGCUUGAGUUCGGGAAAAAGAAGCGGAAUUCCCGGUGUAGCGGUGAAAUGCGUAGAUAUCGGAAGGAACACCGGUAACGAAGGCGGCUUCCUGGACCGCGACUGACGCUGAGGCGCAAAAGCUAGGGGAACAAACGGG
rnacentral:rRNA from 1 species